CAUGGCUCAGGAUGAACGCUAGCGGGAGGCCUAACACAUGCAAGCCGAGCGGUAGAGAUUCUUCGGGAUCUUGAGAGCGGCGCACGGGUGCGGAACACGUGUGCAACCUGCCUUUAUCUGGGGGAUAGCCUUUCGAAAGGAAGAUUAAUACCCCAUAAUAUAUUUUCUGGCAUCAGAAAAUAUUGAAAACUCCGGUGGAUAGAGAUGGGCACGCGCAGGAUUAGAUAGUUGGUGAGGUAACGGCUCACCAAGUCAACGAUCCUUAGGGGGCCUGAGAGGGUGAUCCCCCACACUGGUACUGAGACACGGACCAGACUCCUACGG
rnacentral:rRNA from 1 species